GGCUCGAUAACUCGUUCAAAAUUCUUUUGUUAUAAUUUGUCCAAGUUUAAUUUAUCGCUUUUUCUUGUUUUUGUUGAUCAUAUUGUCAGUGUUGUGAGUCGCCGUCGUACCAAAAGAACUGGUUUAGAUGAGUUAAUUUAUUGGUUAGCCGCGGGCUGCUCCAUAACAGUGUCAUCGUUUCUGUUUGUAAAAAGACUUUCAGAUCUGGCUGGUGAAUCGCCGUUUGUUUUAUAAAGUUUUCGUCUCAGUAAUUUACAUCUAAAACUCCGACAGAAUAGACGAAGCUGAAAUACCAACGCGCAACGCUUUAUUGUUCCUAACAGAGACAUAGCCAGGGCAAGAAACCAGAAACCUCAAACAUUUUUUGGAUGAAAUUUGCCAAGAAAUCCCCGUGAAAUAAAUUCUGUCCUUCAAAAUGGCGUGCUUUAAUAGAAAACGUAACAGAAGAGCAACGAGGAAGGAAAAAAAAUAGGAAAAAUGUUCAUGUUAAACAUUGCCAAUUUUGUUCGAAAUCAGAACAUAGAUUCAUCAACAUUGAAAAAACAAAACACGUUCUUGUCAACGCUGUGCUCGAGGGCUAAGGUUAAUAAUCAAAAUCAACUUCCUGUUCUCUUCAUAAAGUCCUUUAUCCCCAGAUGGCGCGCGCCUUUCCUUUUUUUUAGUGUGUCGACUGCAAUGGCGGUAGUUUUAACGACUUUUGCAAUCUCUGAAAGUGUUGGUUUCGUGUAAGUACUGUUUUUUUUUGUGAAACUGGAAAACAUUUAACGUUUUAGUGAACAAUUAUUCGUCCUUACACGCAAUACAGCAUGCCUCUGCUUGUGGCAGAAUGUCUGCCCUGUGCAGCAUGCAAAAGCCACCACGUGUUUUCUAAUGGACGUAGAAAACGUGAAGACGUACAGGCAUAUUGCCGAAAUGUGACCAUAAUUGCAAUGCAAUACCGAAGCUAGUUAACAUUUUCAAGUGCCAUGCUUCAUAACUUGGUGUUUCUGUGAGCUUGCUAUAAGUGGUACAUCAACUAUAGAACAGAUUUCCACGUACUGUGUUUUCACAGGAUGCACAAAAGUGUAAAAUGACUGGUACAUGCUUAACCCCUAUGGGUUGCUUUCAAAUAGCUUCUACUGCACAGUGACUUUUCAAUCUAGUGUUCAACUUCAAUGUGAUUACCCACAUUACUUAAAUGUAGUGUCGAAUAGCAAAGCUGAUUUUGGGCAUCCACCGGUUAGGCAUGUGUUGCAGCAUCACUGUCUAGAACAAGGUAUGUUAUGAUGAAAAUGCCGGGGGUUGCCAACAAAAGGAUCUCCUCCGCCUGUUUCUAUUUCCAACACAAAAAAAUGACUGAAAAGUGAGAUAAAAAGGAGGAUUCGAUGUGGACAGGUGUGCCAGCAGACCCCAUUUGGCAGGUGGAACAAAAAUGCAGACCUACUAUUGACAUUUCCUGUCGCUCUCUCUCUCGUCUAAAGUUAGUCAAUGGGAGGAGGAAGGAGGCGGACAGACUCUGCACACCUGUACAGUAGGAAUGGAAAACAAAAAAAUGGCGCGACAUUCUCUUCCGUCUGCAAUAACCGCAAACAACCGGACAGCUGUGAAUCAAAAUCUAUUCUCCUCCAUUUUUUUUUCAGGUUGGGGCUAAAGGGGAUGAAAAAAAUGCAAUCAUUUAAAAUAACAAAUGAGGAAGACAGGUGACACAUCAUUUAGCACCACUUGUUUUCCCCCGUUAAGUGAGAGAGACAUUAUCCCUCAAAUCAAUAUUGAGUUCCUGGUUUUUAGUCGGGGUGUCGUGCCCCAGCUUUGCUACAGACACACGCGCCAGCUUGUGGUAUGAAACGUCUGUUUUUUCCCGUAUCGCAUGUGCUGCUGUUGUGAUGAAUAAUAGAACCGGAUACGGAUUUUAGUCACGUUUAUUUGAAAAAAAAAAAUAUAAUGUCACAUGCAAAACAAAAUAAAAGAUGGUGCCCCUGAAAAAAAAGGAGGGAGGGUAUUUAAUGAGACUGUCGAAAAUGUAGUCAAAAUUGAGCUAGCGUUUCGCCUUCUUUUUCGGGGGGUAAACCCGCGAUACUAAUGAGGACUAAAUUAAAAUAGAUUUCGAGAAAAUGAGUUGUUUCCGGUGAGAUUGUGUCUACAUUUUCCCACAUUCAGCUUCCAUGUCUUGUGCAAACAUCUUCUUUUUCUUCUCGAAUUUCCAAGAAAAAUGUCAUCACUGAUACCUGAAGGAACCGAGAGUGGAGGAUUAAUGUUGGGGACAAAUGUGUGUCGACAAGAUCUCGUCAUCAAAGUACAAUAGUAUUAACCAUAACAAAUCCCUUUCAUUCUUCUUUUUAAAUCCAUAUCUCAAGAUCCGUGUGUUUUGUGUACUUAGUAUUAUUGUCCGCCAUUUUUUUUUCUUUUGUGACAUUGAAACUAAAUAUUGAUCAAUAUCUGCCCUUAUUUUUCUAAUCCUUUUCUCAGUUUCAAAUUUUUUUUCUAAAAGAUGAAUGAUUUCAACAUUCCAAACACGAUUGCAAUG